rnacentral:tRNA from 1 species
GGGGUUGUGGCUCAGUGGUAGAGUGCUUGCUUUGCAUGCAUGAGGCACGGGUUGGAUCCUCAGUACCA